UGAAAAUCUGCACCCCUCUGGACAUCACAGAGCUAUCUGAUACCUUGUCUUUCUGUACUCUGGUCUCUAGGUUCCUUGCAAUCUGCAACUUGAUUGAAAAAUUCCCAGUUCUAUAUUCUUCUGUAUGAAGAAGUAGUACUGCAUCUGUAAGCCAGAUCCUUGUUUCCUCCUGCUUACUUUAUCUUUUCCCAUAUCGUUCUAGGAAGACAUGUUUGCCUUCUCAGUCUGCGGAGAAAAUUAGUGGAUUCUUUAACCUUAAUAUUGAGUCUGGAAUGAGAUUCUGUCCUCUAGAGGUCACCAAUGCACCAGAUUUGAAGGCCACGGAGGCUUCUAAAAUGCUCAGGAAGAGCUAGGUGUCCUGUUCACAUAUGAAUGAAAGAGAAAAUAAGGUGUCCAAUGAGGAACUUGGGUUUUAUGAACACUAAGUCCCUACCAAUCCCAACAGUAUGUCUGAAUCUCUGAGUUCCCAUAAGAAGAAAGAUUCUUCUCAAAAUAAAUCACUAAUAAGGGAAAUUUGGUGACUGAUUGAAGCUAAGGAAGAUAACCUCAUUUCUACUUCUGUAAGGAGGAAAAUACCCUCUCUGCCAAAGAUCCAGAGCUCAGUACCUGCACAGAUGUUCUUAUGGCCCAAGGAAAUCCUUCUCCACAUCUCUUGCCCUAUUACCUUGAAAGAAAAAGUGGCUGCCCCAAAUCCCCAAACGCCAUGAACAUUGAAGGAUGGUGCCCCUGUCCAUGUUGCAUUUGGAUGCCUCUUUGGAGUAUCAGGAGGAUUUGAGCAGUGGAAGCUCUUAAGAAAGAAAAUACAAAUUAUUUUAAGAAGAAAACAACCCCAUCAAAAAGUGGGUGAAGGAUAUGAACAGACACUUCUCAAAAGAAGACAUUUAUGCAGCCAAAAGACACAUGAAAAAAUGCUCA
rnacentral:lncRNA from 1 species